GACAGGUGCAGCUCAUCAUCUGACCAUUCUCUCCUUGGCGAUCCCACUUGUCACCAAUCUUGUAGUUCACGCCAUUGUCAUGGCACCAUUCUGAACAGAUAUGAGUAACAAAAGGUUUUUGGAAAGAUCACUUCUGCUACUGAUCAAAGGAAAAAGCUCUGACUACACGCUGUGAAUUUGAACAUACCAGAGUUGCCCACUGUGACCAUCUCUUCACGAACUUUGUGUCUCCUCUGAUUUUUCAGUGCCUCCACUAUGAUGUUGUAGGUAGCCCCUCUGGUAAGGCCAGUCAGUGUGGCACUAGCUGAAGUUCCAGGAACUCUGAACUGUAAUUAUCAGUAAAUCCAAGGCAGAGGAAAAGCAUUAUAGAAAGGAAUAGACAUGGCCUUUCCUAAUGGGAAGUCAUUGAACAACCCUCAUGACAUUAACAAGGGAAGAUGGGGAAUGGAAGGACCAGGGAGAAGACAAUAAUGAGGCGGAGGGUAAUGAGGCAUCAUGGCAUCUAGAGGGACUUUACAGUCAGUUAGUUCAACCUGCUUAUUUUACAAACAAGGAAACUGAGGCCCAUGAAAAUUAAGUGACUUGCUCAAGGUUACAUAGUAAACAUUAGAGGCAGGGUUUGAACCUGAGUCUCCUGAAUCUACAAUUACUCCUGUCUCCACUGGAAUGUGUUAUCUUUUGGGCCAACAUCUCCUCAGCUCUCUCUCUCUCUCUCUCUCUCUCUCUCUCUCUCUCUCUCUCUCUCUCUCUCUCUCUCUCUCUCUCUCUCUCU